GAGCUAUGCAGGUGCCCCUAGAAACUUAAAAAUUCUAACAGGCUGAGCAUACCUAAGUCUUUCCACUGGUUCUCAUAGUAUGAAUUCUAGAUCACUAGUAUCCUGCAUAUUCCACUUUUGGAUCCACUACGUUUUGUCAGUAUUCCUUCAAAAAUAUUGCAUACAGAACUGAGUGUUCUCUGUGUGGUUUGAGAAGAUCAUAGAAAUGAAAAGUUGAUAUAUAUCAAAAGCUAAUAAAGAUAAUUAAAAGCCUACAAGCCAGAAUAUAAACCACCACACUUGGAACUAGGACUUUGA